GAUGAACGCUAGCGGGAGGCCUAAUACAUGCAAGUCGAGCGGUAGAGUGACUUCGGUUGCUUGAGAGCGGCGCACGGGUGAGUAACGCGUACAUGACCUACCUUUAAGACUGGGAUAGCCCUGGGAAACUGGGAUUAAUACCGGAUGUGAUAAUACGUAUAGAGAUGUAUUAUUAAAGUUGAGGCGCUUAGAGAUGGAUGUGCGUCUGAUUAGCUAGUUGGUAGGUAACGGCCUACCAAGGCGACGAUCAGUAGGGGGCGUGAGAGCGUGGCCCCCCANACGGGUACUGAGACACGGACCCGACUCCUACGGGAGGCAGCAGUAAGGAUAUUGGUCAAUGGACGGAAGUCUGAACCAGCCAUCCCGCGUGCAGG
rnacentral:rRNA from 1 species